GGAAACAACCUUACCAAAAUCCAUAUUCCAAACCACGGCCUUUGUUAAGUUGCUAUUAUAUCACAUGCUCUUCUCCUCUCCUCACAAGUCACAAGCAUUGCCUAGAUAUAUGAUUGCGCAUUUUGAACGAAAAGGGUGAGUGCACAAGCACGACGACACAUACCCCCAUUUCUCUCCCUCUGCCUUUCUCUUGCCCCUCUCGGACAAGGUGUGACGUGUUAAUGAAUCCACUUGCAUCUAUUAUAUGUUGGGUUUUCCAGGAUUGAACAACGAGAGCUCUGAAAGUUUUUCCUUUUCUCUGCAUUCUUUUUUAUUGGGUGGACUCUCGUUUUGGGUCUCAGAAGAUGGGGAUUCUUUUGGAAAUCUUUGAGGGACUGGCUUUGUUUGUUUCCACUCUCUGGGCUCUGCAAGAGAGGCGGUUCAACGCCAUUUUCGAUUCUGUAAGUUCUGUUGCGAGAUCCGCUAUCAUGACUAUUGCUUUCUGUUCUAUACGGCGCAGGAGAAGAUGAGGGGAAUUUCUUACUUGAUUCUAUAUUGAUAUGUGAAUUUGAAGUCUGUUUGUUACCGAGUCUGAGAGAAUUUUGGAAACGAAGAAAGGCUUAUGGAUC